GGCCCUUCGGGGUACUCGAGUGGCGAACGGGUGAGUAACACGUGGGUAACCUGCCCCCUGCUUCGGGAUAACUCCGGGAAACCGGGGCUAAUACCGGAUAUUCUGCUUGCACCGCAUGGUGUGGGUUGGAAAGUUUUUCGGCUGGGGAUGGGCCCGCGGCCUAUCAGCUUGUUGGUGGGGUGAUGGCCUACCAAGGCUUCGACGGGUAGCCGGCCUGAGAGGGCGACCGGCCACACUGGGACUGAGACACGGCCCAGACUCCUACGGGAGGCAGCAGUGGGGAAUAUUGCGCAAUGGGCGGAAGCCUGACGCAGCGACGCCGCGUGAGGGAUGACGGCCUUCGGGUUGUAAACCUCUUUCAGCAGGGACGAAUUUGACGGUACCUGUAGAAGAAGCACCGGCCAACUACGUGCCAGCAGCCGCGGUAAA
rnacentral:rRNA from 1 species